rnacentral:rRNA from 1 species
UACGUAGGGCGCGAGCGUUGUCCGGAAUCAUUGGGCGUAAAGAGCUCGUAGGCGGUCUGUUACGUCUGCUGUGAAAACCCUGGGCUUAACCCUGGGCUUGCAGUGGAUACGGGCAGACUAGAGGCAGGUAGGGGAGAGUGGAAUUCCCGGUGUAGCGGUGAAAUGCGCAGAUAUCAGGAAGAACACCCGUGGCUAAGGCGGCUCUCUAGUACGGUACUGACGCUGAGACGCGAAAGCGUGGGGAGCGAACAGG